GUGAUAUGUGAAUGGAGGUGGUGAGGUUUACAUGGAAGUGAUGAGAUGUAGAUGGAGGUGGUAAGUUGUAGACAGAGGUGUGAGGUGGAGAUGGAGAUGGUGAGGUAGUGUAUGGUGGUGUGAAGUAUAGAUGGAGGUAUGAGGUAUACAUGGUGAUGAGGUGUGGACAAGGGUGGUGAGGUGUAGAUGGUGAUGGUGAGGUAUAGAAGGAGGUGUGUGGCGUAGGUAUAGGUGGUGAGAGAUAGGUGAGGGUGGUGAGGUGUAGAUGGUGGUCGUGAGGUGUAGAUGGAGGUGGUGAUAUCUAGAUGGAGGUAGCGAGGUCUAGAUGGAGGUGUGUGAUAUAGGUGUAGGUGAUGAGGUAUAGGUGAGGGUGGUGAGGUGUAGAUGGUGAUGGUGAUGUCUAGAUGGAGGUGAUGAGGUCUAGAUGGAGGAGUGUGGUGUAGGUGUAGGUGGUGAGGUAUAGGUGAGGGUGGUGAGGUCUAGAUGGUGGUGAGGUCUAGAUGGAGAUGUGUGGUUUAGGUGUAGGUGGUGAGAUACAGGUGAGGGUGGUGAGGUGUAGAUGGUGGUGGUGAGGUCUAGAUGGAGAUGUGUGGUUUAGGUGUAGGUGGUGAGAUAUAGGUGAGGGUGGUGAGGUGUAGAUGGUGGUGGUGAGGUCUAGAUGGAGGUGGUGAGGUCUAGAUGGAGGUGUAUGGUGUAAGUGUAGGUGGUGAGGUAUAGGUGAGGUUGGUGAGGUAUAGAUGGUGGUGGUGAGGUCUAGAUGGAGGUGGUGAUGUCAGAUGGAGGUGGUGAGGUCUAGAUGGGGGUGGUGAGGUCUAGAUGGAGGCAGUGAGGUCUAGAUGGAGGCGGUGAGGUCUAGAUGGAGGUGUAUGGUGUAGGUGUAGGUGGUGAGGUAUAGGUG
rnacentral:lncRNA from 10 species